GAUGAACGCUGGCGGCGUGCCUAACACAUGCAAGUCGAACGGAGUAAUUAUUAUGAAGUUUUCGGAUGGAUUAAUAAUUACUUAGUGGCGGACGGGUGAGUAACGCGUGGGUAACCUGCCUCAUACAGGGGGAUAACAGCUGGAAACGGCUGCUAAAACCGCAUAACAUUGCGACGUCGCAUGGCGAUGCAAUUACAUAUUUAUAGGUAUGAGCUGGGACCGCGUCUGAUUAGCUAGUUGGUGAGGUAAUGGCUCACCAAGGCGACGACCAGUAGCCGGCUUGAGAGAGUGACCGGCCACAUUGGGACUGAGACACGGCCCAAACUCCUACGGGAGGCAGCAGUGGAGAAUAUUGCACAAUGGGGGAAACCCUGAUGCAGCGACGCCGCGUGAGUGAAGAAGUAUUUCGGUAUGUAAAGCUCUAUCAGCAGGGAAGAAAAUGACGGUACCUGACUAAGAAGCCCCGGCUAACUACGUGCCAGCAGCCGCAGUAA
rnacentral:rRNA from 1 species